rnacentral:rRNA from 1 species
GACGAACGCUGGCGGCGUGCCUAAUACAUGCAAGUAGAACGCUGAAGAGAGGAGCUUACCCUUCUUGGAUGAGUUGCGAACGGGUGAGUAACGCGUAGGUAACCUGCCUUGUAGCGGGGGAUAACUAUUGGAAACGAUAGCUAAUACCGCAUAACAAUGGAUGACACAUGUCAUUUAUUUGAAAGGGGCAAUUGCUCCACUACAAGAUGGACCUGCGUUGUAUUAGCUAGUAGGUGAGGUAAUGGCUCACCUAGGCGACGAUACAUAGCCGACCUGAGAGGGUGAUCGGCCACACUGGGACUGAGACACGGCCCAGACUCCUACGGGAGGCAGCAGUAGGGAAUCUUCGGCAAUGGGGGCAACGCUGACCGGGCAACGCCGCGUGAGUGAAGAAGGUUUUCGGAUCGUAAAGCUCUGUUGUAAGUCAAGAACGGGUGUGGGAGUGGAAAGUUCACACUGUGACGGUAGCUUACCAGAAAGGGACGGCUAACUACGUG